UAGUGAGUUUGAUCCUGGCUCAGGAUGAACGCUAGCGGGAGGCCUAACACAUGCAAGCUGAGCGGUAGAGAUCCUUCGGGAUCUUGAGAGCGGCGUACGGGUGCGGAACACGUGUGCAACCUGCCCCAUACCGGGGAUAGCCUGGCGAAAGCCGGGGUAAACCCGCAUAGUCCCUUUCUGUUUCAUGACAGGCCGGGUAAACAUUUAUGGGUAUGGGAGGGGCUUGCGUCUGAUUAGUUAGUUGGCAGGGUAACGGCCUACCAAGACGAUGAUCAGUAGGGGUUCUGAGAGGAACGGCCCCACAUGGACACUGAGACACGGGGUCCAACUCCUACGGGAGGCAGCAGUGGGGAAUCUUGGACAAUGGGGCGCAAGCCCGAUCCAGCCAUGCCCGCGUGAGUGAA
rnacentral:rRNA from 1 species